UCUCAAGUAUAACGUGAUGUAGGCCUACCAGUUGUCACUACAGUAUCCUUGUAGUCUACAAGGAUACUAACUCUGGGCAGGAACUCUCUGGAAAUAACUGUGAAGUUGGCCUAAUAACAAAUAAAUUACAUUGUUAAAGUUAGCAACGCCUUUCAAAUUAAACAACCCCAGCUGGCAGUUAGCUAUAGCGUUGUUAGCUAACUAUGGUACGGCUCGUUUUCUUUGGGAAUAAGGAGUUUGACCACUUCGCCGCUAAAAGGAAACGUGGAUGUAUUAAGAGAACUGCGAAAGACCUGCAUCUUCAAACAGCAUCACCCCAAAAUGGCUAGUGGAGGACUUCUGCUACCCGUCAGUGACUCUAGAUUUGGAGAUUUGACUGUGAAUUGGAAGUUGUCUGCCUUCACUUUGGGAAAAGGUCAGGCUUGCUUUUCUUGCCCAGCGGAGGAAAAAGAAAGAGGAGGUUUUUAUAACUACAGGACUACCUUUAAAGUUGGCUGAUGGAUUACAGAGCUGCUGUCAAGGCUCCACUGAAAGCUUUCCAUUCAUAUCACGGUCCUAAGCAGACAAAUCUACCCUCAGCCUCAUUUGCAAUGUUUUUUCUAGAUUAGUUUGCAUGUGUAGUCUAUUUACAUGUUCCCUGUAGACGUUCUGUCUGUUGGACACUUUGACCACACAAUGUGUCUCCAAGAGGAAAAGGAAAAUA